UUAAAAAGCUCGUAGUUGAAUUUCGGGAUUAGUACGCUGGUCGUGCCUUCGGUACGUACUGGUGUUACUGAUUUCUACCUUCUGACGAACCAUCAUGUCAUUAAUUUGGUGUGGUGGGGAAUCAGGACUGUUACUUUGAAAAAAUUAGAGUGUUUAAAGCAGGCUCGCGCUUGAAUACAUUAGCAUGGAAUAAUGAAAUAGGACGUUGAUCCUAUUUUGUUGGUUUCUAGGAUUGACGUAAUGAUUAAUAGGGGUAGUUGGGGG
rnacentral:rRNA from 1 species